rnacentral:rRNA from 1 species
GACGAACGCUGGCGGCGUGCUUAACACAUGCAAGUCGAACGGAAAGGCCCAGCUUGCUGGGUACUCGAGUGGCGAACGGGUGAGUAACACGUGGGUGAUCUGCCCUGGACUCUGGGAUAAGCCUGGGAAACUGGGUCUAAUACCGGAUAUGACCUUACAUCGCAUGGUGUUUGGUGGAAAGCUUUUGCGGUUCAGGAUGGGCCCGCGGCCUAUCAGCUUGUUGGUGGGGUAAUGGCCUACCAAGGCGACGACGGGUAGCCGACCUGAGAGGGUGAUCGGCCACACUGGGACUGAGACACGGCCCAGACUCCUACGGGAGGCAGCAGUGGGGAAUAUUGCACAAUGGGCGCAAGCCUGAUGCAGCGACGCCGCGUGAGGGAUGACGGCCUUCGGGUUGUAAACCUCUUUCACCAGGGACGAAGCGUGAGUGACGGUACCUGGAGAAGAAGCACCGGCCAACUAC